AAACUCCGAAUGCCAAUUAAUUUAACUUGGGAGUCAGAACAUGGGUGAUAAGGUCCGUGUUCGAAAGGGAAACAGCCCAGACCACCAGCUAAGGUCCCAAAAUAUAUGUUAAGUGGAAAAGGAUGUGGCGUUGCCCAGACAACUAGGAUGUUGGCUUAGAAGCAGCCAUCAUUUAAAGAGUGCGUAAUAGCUCACUAGUCGAGUGACACUGCGCCGAAAAUGUACCGGGGCUAAACAUAUUACCGAAGCUGUGGAUUGUCCUUUGGACAAUGGUAGGAGAGCGUUCUAAGGGCGUUGAAGCAUGAUCGUAAGGACAUGUGGAGCGCUUAGAAGUGAGAAUGCCGGUGUGAGUAGCGAAAGACGGGUGAGAAUCCCGUCCACCGAUUGACUAAGGUUUCCAGAGGAAGGCUCGUCCGCUCUGGGUUAGUCGGGUCCUAAGCUGAGGCCGACAGGCGUAGGCGAUGGAUAACAGGUUGAUAUUCCUGUACCACCUAUA
rnacentral:rRNA from 1 species